rnacentral:rRNA from 1 species
GACGAACGCUGGCGGCGUGCUUAACACAUGCAAGUCGAGCGGUAAGGCCCUUCGGGGUACGACGAGCGGCGAACGGGUGAGUAACACGUGGGUGACCUGCCCUUAGCUCUGGGAUAAGCCUGGGAAACUGGGUCUAAUACCGGAUAUGACCUCAUGACGCAUGUUGUGGGGUGGAAAGCCUUGUGCGGCUAGGGAUGGGCCCGCGGCCUAUCAGCUUGUUGGUGGGGUGAUGGCCUACCAAGGCGACGACGGGUAGCCGGCCUGAGAGGGCGACCGGCCACACUGGGACUGAGACACGGCCCAGACUCCUACGGGAGGCAGCAGUGGGGAAUCUUGCGCAAUGGGCGAAAGCCUGACGCAGCGACGCCGCGUGAGGGAUGACGGCCUGUGUAC